rnacentral:rRNA from 1 species
ACACAUGCAAGUCGAGGGGCAGCGCGGGAUAGCAAUAUCCUGGCGGCGACCGGCGGAAGGGUGCGUAACGCGUGAGCGACAUGCCCGUUGCCCGGGGACAACCGGUGGAAACGCCGACUAAUCCCCGAUGGGAUAUUGUGCCGCAUGGCACGAUAUUGAAAGUUACGGCGGCGACGGAUUGGCUCGCGUCCGAUUAGCUUGUUGGCGGGGUAACGGCCCACCAAGGCUACGAUCGGUAGGGGUUCUGAGAGGAAGGCCCCCCACAAUGGGACUGAGACACGGCCCAUACUCCUACGGGAGGCAGCAGUGAGGAAUAUUGGUCAAUGGGCGGAAGCCUGAACCAGCCAUGCCGCGUGCGGGAAGGAGGCCCUAUGGGCUGUGAACCGCUUUUGCCUGGGGGCAAUAAGGGCGUCGCGCACGCCCGAUGAGAGUACCAGGCGAAUAAGCAUCGGCUAACUCCGUGCCAGCAGCCGCGGUAAUGCGGGGGAUGCGAGCGUUAUCCGGAUUCAUUGGGUUUAAAGGGUGCGUAGGCUGUGCGUCAAGUCGGGGGUGAAAUUCCGGUGCUCAACACCGGGGCUGCCCUUGAUACUGUCGCGCUGGAGUGCGGAUGCCGCCGGAGGAAUGAGUGGUGUAGCGGUGAAAUGCUUAGAUAUCACUCAGAACACCGAUUGCGAAGGCAUCUGGCGAAUCCGUAACUGACGCUGAGGCACGAAAGCGUGGGGAUAGAACAGGAUUAGAUACCCUGGUACUCCACGCCGUAAACGAUGAUGGCUAACCGCCGGCGACACACUGUCGGUGGCCAAGCGAAAGCGAUAAGCC